AAGCUUAACAGCCCAUUGCGAAGGGUGUGCAUGGGGCGUCUGUACUCCAUAAAACUCGCUAUAAGUAAUGGUAUUUCAUCAGGAACUCUUAUGGAACAUACAGUGCUUGCUUUAUGGAGACGGUUAAAGGCAGCAGGUCUGCAGGCAACAAGAAGGACCUACUGAGGUCAUUCGAAGUUCAUCUUUACUGUAGCAGGAAAUCCUGAAGGACAAUGUGAGGCCAUGAGAUUAAGGCAUGAGGACUUCGCUAUGCACUAGGAGAUGAUCAGCUUUGGCUAGACAGGAGAAAAUGAAGGAGUGGGAGGAGCCUAACAUAUUAAGCUGGAGCUCCAUUCAUUCUGUUUGGCUGUGAUUCCUUCCUGGAGGACGACAUCGGCUGAGAUAAAAAAAAAAAAAAACGUUCUCUCUCUCCUGCUGUUUACUUUUUACUUGUUUUAACUCGAGUCGAGCAAAUCUCAAUCUCGUUGUAAUCUGUUGAUGACAAUGACAAUAAAUCUUAUCUUAUCUUAUCUUAUCUUAUCUUAUCUUAUCUUAUCUUAUCUUAUCUUAGAAAGCACUUUACAUCAGUUCUUCAGCUUCCUUUUGUGUCUCUGCUCUGUCUCCUCAAACCCCCAGUUGGUGGUGGAAGAUGAAGAACACCGAUCUCAGGUGUCUUCCUGUUAAAGGAGAGUUUUUCACUCCACUGUCACUACAUGCAUGUUAUGUAUGAGGGAUUGAUGUAAUGUCAACAACACAAUGUAAGUGAUUGUCUUUUUAAAGUUUCUGUCUAUGUUUCUGUGUCUUAUUAUUCACUUUGAAUAACAAAAGUGAGCUUUAUGUGCUGCUUAAUAACUAGGACCAAUUAAAAUGUAUGUAUGAUUGAACUGAAGUGACUUUUUGUAAAGCGCCUCAAGAUGACAUUUGUUGUGCUGUAUAAAUAAGCU